GAUGAAGAACGUAGUGAAAUGCGAUAACUAAUGUGAAUUGCAGAAUUCCGUGAAUCAUCGAGUCUUUGAACGCACAUUGCGCCCCCUGGUAUUCCGGGGGGCAUGCCUGUUCGAGCGUCAUUAUAACCACUCAAGCUCUCGCUUGGUAUUGGGGUUCGCGGUUCCGCGGCCCCUAAAAUCAGUGGCGGUGCCUGUCGGCUCUACGCGUAGUAAUACUCCUCGCGAUUGAGUCCGGUAGGUCUACUUGCCAGCAACCCCCAAUUUUUACAGGUUGACCUCGGAUCAGGUAGGGAUACCCGCUGAACUUAAGCAUAUCAAUAAGCGGAGGA
rnacentral:misc_RNA from 1 species